rnacentral:tRNA from 1 species
UGUUUGGAAGCGAAAAUUACGCACUAAGUUUCGGCCUUAGUAUUGGAAGAACUAAAGCUUCCCCGAAUCA